UACGAACGCUGGCGGCGUGCUUAACACAUGCAAGUCGAACGGAAAGGCCCUGCUUUUGUGGGGUGCUCGAGUGGCGAACGGGUGAGUAACACGUGAGUAACCUGCCCUUGACUUUGGGAUAACUUCAGGAAACUGGGGCUAAUACCGGAUAGGAGCUCCUGCUGCAUGGUGGGGGUUGGAAAGUUUCGGCGGUUGGGGAUGGACUCGCGGCUUAUCAGCUUGUUGGUGGGGUAGUGGCUUACCAAGGCUUUGCCGGGUAGCGGGCCUGAGAGGGUGACCGGCCAAAUUGGGCCUGGGAUACGGCCCAGCCUCCUACGGGAGGCAGCAGUGGGGAAUAUUGAACAAUGGGCGGAAGCCGGAUGCAGCAACGCCGCGUGCGGGAUGACGGCCUUCGGGUUGUAAACCGCUUUCGCCUGUGACGAAGCGUGAGUGACGGUAAUGGGUAAAGAAGCACCGGCUAACUACGUG
rnacentral:rRNA from 1 species